UUUUUAUCAGUUGUAUGAUAUUGAUAUAGACAAGGUUAACAAGCCAUAUCUUCCGUUGGCGUCAGGGGAAUAUUCAAUUCAAACUGGUGUCAUGAUUGUCGCAUCCUUUUCUGUUCUGAGUUUUGGCCUUGGAUGGAUUAUUGGGUCAUGGCCAUUAUUUUGGGCCCUAUUCAUCAGUUUUGCAUUGGGAACUGCUUAUUCAAUCAAUGUG